AGCAGCCGCGGUAAUUCCAGCUCCAAUAGCGUAUAUUAAAGUUGUUGCAGUUAAAAAGCUCGUAGUUGAAUUUCGGGGUCAGUAGAUUGGUCGUGCCACUGGUAUGUACUGGUCUCACUGGCUCCUCCUUCCUGAUGAACCGUAAUGCCAUUAAUUUGGUGUUACGGGGAAUUAGGACUGUUACCUUGAAAAAAUUAGAGUGUUUAAAGCAGGCCCACGCUUGAAUACAUUAGCAUGGAAUAAUGAAAUAGGACAUCCGAUUCUAUUUUGUUGGUUUCUAGGAUCGAUGUAAUGAUUAAUAGGGAUAGUUGGGGGCAUUAGUAUUCAAUUGUCAGAGGUGAAAUUCUUGGAUGUAA
rnacentral:rRNA from 1 species